GACGGAAGGUGCAAGCGUUGCUCGGAAUCACUGGGCGUAAAGGGUGCGUAGGCGGCCGCGCAAGUCUGGCGUGAAAGCCCCGGGCUCAGCCCGGGAAGGGCGCUCGAAACGGCGCGGCUCGAGUGCCGGAGGGGAGAGUGGAAUUCUCGGUGUAGCGGUGAAAUGCGUAGAUAUCGAGAGGAACACCUGCGGCGAAGGCGGGUAGCUGGGCCGACACUGACGCUGAGGUGCGAAAGCCAGGGGAGCGAACGGG
rnacentral:rRNA from 1 species